GGGAGGCCGAAAGCUAUUCUUGGGAAAGUCAAGUCGCAGAAGAGAACAGCUGUCACCCUGAAAAAAAAAAAAAAAGAAAAGAAAAUUUAUUGUCUCCUGGAGACACCACUGGAACUCAAGGAUUUCUUCUGUGCUGCUCUGCCUCCUUCCUGUGCAGCCUCAAGUCAUGUUCACAGCCAUGAUGGACCCAGUGACCAGGACAGCCCUGACACACGUGGGCAGUGCUUGACACUCACAGAGUCUCCACAUUCGUCAACUAAUUUGUUCUGUCCACAGACUGGUGAGGUGGGUUGCAGGCAGGCUCCCCACCCCAUUCUCCAGGAGAAAGAGUCAAAGCACAGAGCGGUCCUGUGUCUGGCCUCCGGUCAGGCCUCUCGCAAGUGUGAAACCACGGCUUUGGACCCAAAGAGGGCUUUUUUGUCUGAUCACCACAACUUUUAAAAAGCACACUGCUGACCAGUUUCUAUCUCUGUCCCCUGUUGUUUGCCAUCAUUGAAAUGAUCUUCCCUAAACAGAUUCAGUAAGUUCAAGUUUUGCUCUCUGCUCCUCUGAGAAAACAGACAUGCUUUACAGAAGGAAUUUGAGUCUGAACAGUCAUGUUUUGUAGACAUUAGUGUUUAUUUCCCUGUGAUAUUGUAGCUUCCUCUGGAAAAAUCCAAGCAAUACAUCCGUUUCCAGUCCUGAGAAACUCUCAAAUGUUGACCAUGUG
rnacentral:lncRNA from 1 species